GACGAACGCUGGCGGCGUGCCUAAUACAUGCAAGUUGAGCGCUGAAGGUUGGUACUUGUACCGACUGGAUUAGCAGCGAACGGGUGAGUAACGCGUGGGUAAUCUGCCUUUGAGCGGGGGACAACAUAUGGAAACGAAGGCUAAUACCUCAUAAAAACUUUAAACACAAGUUUUAAGAGGGAAAGAUGCAAUUGCAUCACGCGAAGAUGAUCCCAGGUUGUAUUAGCUAGUUGGUGAGGUAAAGGCUCACCAAGGCGAUGAUACAUAGGCGACCUGAGAGGGUGAUCGGCAACACUGGGACUGGGACAAGGCCACAGACCCGACGCGUGGGAGCAGUAGGGAAGAUUAGGCAAUGGACGAAAGUCUGAGCGUGAACCGGCGAGGGCGUGUAGAAGGUGUUCGGAUCGUAAAACUCUGUUGGUAGAGAAGCACGUUGGUGAGAGUGGACAGGUCACCACGUGACGGUACCUAAUCAGAAAGCGACGGCUAACUCCGUG
rnacentral:rRNA from 1 species